GGGCUGGGUGACGGAGGUCAGUGGUGGGCAGCCUCCCCAGUCACCACUGUGUCUGGCUCCACAGCAGCUCCUCAGGAGCGAACUCAUCUGCUCUGGCUCCUGAGGCAUUCUCCCCCGCUGGUGUGAGCCCAAACACCCCGGGAAGGGCAAGCGGGAACGUGCAGUGAUUGAAGAGAGCGAUUCACCAUUCCUCAGCCUCCACAGAAGGCUAUGUUCAUCUCCUUGGGGUGCGGUUUACGAACAGUUCAUGGAGAGGAACGGGACGCUUGAAUCUUCUGUGAUCCUUCUGUGUGCCAGUGCUGUCCGUUCUGAGGCGCAAGGCCCAACCUUGGAGCAAAGCAAGAAGAAACAGAUGUUUCAAACAGACUGAUCCUCACCACAUGAUAGCUGCUCGAGUCUGUCACCGAGUCUCGUGGCGUAACAGGAGCAAGGACUACAUGAAUUAGCAAGCAUUUCUAGGAUCAGGCCCUGGACUGGUAACAUAUUGAGACUUUUUAGAGCUGUGUAUCUUGAAGUAGCUUACAUCUAGGAUGUAGAAAAAAAACCCUCCUCUUAGCUGAGUUUUUUGGCUUUGCUGAAGCAGGGAGCCAGCCACGGGGGAUGCUUUUCUUGAGAAACACUUUGCCCUCGUAAGGAGGAUUUGAUUGUGGCUUUGACGAUCAGCCGUGUCGUGGCAGAGAGGAUGUGAAAGUGAAGCACCCCAACGGCAGUUGGUGGUGACGUCCUGUUUGCUGAGGACAGGAGCAAGCUCAACACGUCCGUGGGGACCGUGUGUGUAACCGACAGCUGCUUGCACCCCUCAGGAGCCCAGCCUUCUCCCCCUGGCAACAAGUGGUUCCCCCUUCUCCAGCUGCUGCGUGGAGCUUCUUCACCCAAGUUAACCUCUCCCUGUGAAUCCAGAGACGGGAGGCAUUUCAGCUGCCUCCUGUGCGAGGAGCGUUGCCACCUCACACUCUGAGGUGAGAAUCGCUCGCUCACUUGUGCAGCUUCGAGGCUCCGUUGAGCC
rnacentral:lncRNA from 1 species